UACCAGCUCCGCGAGUGGUCGGGACGAUUAUUGGGCCUAAAGCGUCCGUAGCCGGCCUAUCAAGUCUCUGGUUAAACCUCAAGGCUCAACCUUGAGAUUGCUGGAGAUACUGUUAGGCUAGGGGGCGGGAGAGGUUGAGGGUACUACGCGGGUAGGGGCGAAAUCCUAUAAUCCGCGUAGGACCACCAGUGGCGAAGGCGCUCAACUGGAACGCGCCCGACGGUGAGGGACGAAAGCCAGGGGAG
rnacentral:rRNA from 1 species